rnacentral:lncRNA from 1 species
CCUUGUCGUGUGGCCUCAGUCCUUCGCCGUCCCUCGCCGUCCUUCGCCAUCGCACGCCACCGCACCCCAUCUCUCGAAAUCUGCAGACAUCUUGAUUUUUCCCACGCUGUCUGUCAGGUCUCCGCCGCCACUCGACGCCAGGGCGCCGGGCCUUGUGGGCUGUGCUGCACCUCGGACGGCUUCGCACCAGCCAGCGCCCUCUCUCUCCUGCAGCACUCUGAUCUGCACCCCCUGAGGGGCUUCCACUGUCCGCGGGGUGAGAAUGCCCCUGGGAGUGUCACAUGACUGCCGCCCCAUGUGUGUGAGAGGCGUCCUCUGGGAGAGCAUGGAUCCUGAGGUCCCAGGAACAUCCCGAGAGCCAAGUUCCCAGAUGCCAGCCAAGGGCCAUCUGACCUGUUUUGAAUCUCAAUUUCCUGAUACAGAAAACAAAGGAUUGUCAGCUGACCUCUGUCCUGUGUGCCCAGUGGCCCCAGGUGACGUGUCUUCAAGAAGAGGCUGAGCUGCGGUGCUUGUAAGGGUCUCAUUCUGUCACCCAGGCUGGAGUGCAGUGGUGCAAUGAUGGCUCACUGCAGCCUCGACCUGGGCUCAAGUGAUCCUCCACCUCAGCUUCCUGAGUAGCUGGGACCACAGGUCUCAGCCUUAGAUCCAAGGACAGUCCAAGGAAGUCCUAAGACCAUGGAGUUGGUGAUCUGGGAUCUGGGUUUGCUGAUAUUUCUCACCGUGAAUCUCUUGGUGGUGUUUGUGGGCACGAGAGGGGCAGAGAAUGGAGAGUGAGGCUACCACAUGAAGCGUCACCAGAGCUGCUCCCUGCUGCCUGCUCAGAGCACCCCGGAUCCACUGUUCAAUCUGCACAAGAUUCGGGGUCCAGACAUGGGAGACUUCAGCUGCCUCAGAGGACCGUGGACAGGGAAGGCCAGCCUCGCAUCCCUCUGUCCAUGCCUGGAAUGACUUUAAUAACCAAGAGUUUUAUUUUUGAAUUUGUAGCUGUCGUUCACUUUUUACCCACCCAUUCAAUAAACCUUACAGAA